rnacentral:rRNA from 1 species
CCUACGGGAGGCAGCAGUGGGGAAUAUUGCACAAUGGGGGAAACCCUGAUGCAGCGACGCCGCGUGAGUGAAGAAGGUUUUCGGAUUGUAAACCUCUGUCCUGGUUGACGAUAAUGACGGUAAACCAGGAGGAAGCUCCGGCUAACUACGUGCCAGCAGCCGCGGUAAU